UGCUCGCUGCCUUUCCUUAGUCCGUCCGCCUAACAAGACGUAAAAGUCCUUUCAAACCGCAGAAGACUCCUAAAAUAUCCCCUCUGUUCAGUAUAAUGCGACACUGUUCGCGGACGCAUGCUUUAAACAUUUCCGUCUGCUUUCAAGUGAAAUUGAGGGAAGGCUGGUAUUUCCUGUCAGCUUUUGGCCAUGGACGGGCUGGUUUUAAAGCCUAAAAAGGAUUAAGUAUGUGAUGUCGAUUCCAGGAGUGUCUUUGAGCAGUGAGGCAGUGCGCUGAUCAAUAGCAGAGCUGAGCUGAUCGGUGAAAAAGGAAACAGCAAAAUAACGGACGGCUGUUCUGAAUGUCCUUGGCGGCUUUGAACGUAAAAAACCUUUGCUGUUUUGAACUAACCGCCAAAUUCCCUAAGAGCACAAAAUUCAAACCCUGCUGGAUAUAACGUCUCAUCACCUUUGAGUACGUUUUAAGUUUCCACCCAUCCCUCGACCUAUGGAAGCGUCUCGGAGUUGCCAACAUUGAAGACCUGGUUCCGGUACAGUGGACGGGCUUGAGAGGCAACACACCAGUGUCUCUAUGCCGUUGUCAGUUGCUUCAACGAAUUCCAAUGGGUCAGCCACGCCACGCUAUCAGCUCCGGGACAAGCGCUGCCAAUGAGCCCACCACCACGAACAUGGCCUCCUAAACCACAGCUGUUUAGGUUAAGCCCUCAAACACAUGUCAACAACUAGGCAAGCUCCUGAAAUAAACUACUGUCCAAACUGUGGGGAAAGUGAGCCCUUCAGAUGCCUCAUUUUUAUGGGCCCUUGGCUCCAACCCAGCAGGAGAAGAGCAAACAACAAGGGAACCCAUGGUCAACCCAACCAGGCACCCAGGGAGUGCUGAUACUGGAGGACAGAGAACCCAGGAAAUCUCCUCAAACCACAGGAUCAGCUAGGAUGGCCACCAGCUCCUAAUCAUAGGUCUCAGGCCCUUCUCAGUGAGAAGUGCAAAAUGAUCUCUUCCUUGUGGAGAAACUUCUGGUGCCUCUUUGCGAGGGGUGCUCUUUUUUAAACAAAGAGAAGGACGAGCAGGAGCCCAGUGUUUACUGCAGGCUUCCCGUGGCUUGGAGAAAAUAGAUGAUCGCUGGAUGGAGCUUCUCCUAAAAAUGACAUUCUGGCAGGGGGAACAGAGAGUAGAGGAGGGUCUUUUUUAAGCCAAUGACUGCCCAAUUACUCAUCAUCAGUACAAUGGUCCGGCGCGUGCCUCCACCAAUCUGAUGAAAUCCAUAUGUACACACAAUCCAAGAGCCUGCACUCUUUCAAGACUUUUUUUUCCAAACCCGUAACCAUUCCUGCCAGUCGCUGGAGACCAAAGGAGCUCUUGUCCAAAGCGUGGCGAGAACCAAAGCCCUACUAGUAUCAGAUUAUCAUACUGCUACUGAAUGACUGACUGCCCAUACAUUAUAUUCUAUCUAUAUAACAGGUCUACACAGAACUGUGCUGGAUUACAGUGCAUGUCUUAGAGAGAAAAUCCUUCUCAAUUUAAGCACAUUCUUAAUGACACU